rnacentral:rRNA from 1 species
UUCUGGCUCAGGAUGAACGCUAGCUACAGGCUUAACACAUGCAAGUCGAGGGGCGGCAUUGGAGUAGCAAUACUUCAGAUGGCGACCGGCGCACGGGUGAGUAACACGUAUCCAACCUGCCGCUUACUCGGGGAUAGCCUUUCGGAAGAAAGAUUAAUACCCGAUGGUAUAAAGAGUUCGCAUGUUCUCUUUAUUAAAGAAUUUCGGUAAGCGAUGGGGAUGCGUUCCAUUAGAUAGUUGGCGGGGUAACGGCCCACCAAGUCUACGAUGGAUAGGGGUUCUGAGAGGAAGGUCCCCCACAUUGGAACUGAGACACGGUCCAAACUCCUACGGGAGGCAGCAGUGAGGAAUAUUGGUCAAUGGACGAGAGUCUGAACCAGCCAAAGUAGCGUGAAGGAUGACUGCCCUAUGGGUUGUAAACUUCUUUUAUAAGGGAAUAAAGUGAGGGACGUGUCCCUUUUUGUAUGUACCUUAUGAAUAAGGAUCGGCUAACUCCGUGCCAGCCGCCGC